rnacentral:rRNA from 1 species
GACGAACGCUGGCGGCGUGCUUAACACAUGCAAGUCGAACGGUGAAGCGCCUUCCUUUUUGGUGGGUGUGGAUGAGUGGCGAACGGGUGAGUAACACGUGAGUAACCUGCCCCCUUCUUCUGGAUAACCGCAUGAAAGUGUGGCUAAUACGGGAUAUUCUGGGUCUGUCGCAUGAUGGGUCUGGGAAAGAUAUUGUUUCGGUGGGGGAUGGGCUCGCGGCCUAUCAGCUUGUUGGUGGGGUGAUGGCCUACCAAGGCGGUGACGGGUAGCCGGCCUGAGAGGGUGGAGGGUCACACGGGGACUGGGACACGGCCCAGACUCCUACGGGAGGCAGCAGUGGGGAAUAUUGCACAAUGGGCGCAAGCCUGAUGCAGCGACGCCGCGUGAGGGAUGGAGGCCUUCGGGUUGUGAACCUCUUUCGCCAGUGGAGCAGGCCUGCCUCGUUUGUGGGUGGGUUGACGGUAGCUGGAUAAGAAGCGCCGGCUAACUACGUG